rnacentral:misc_RNA from 1 species
GAUGAAGAACGUAGCGAAAUGCGAUACGUAAUGUGAAUUGCAGAAUUCAGUGAAUCAUCGAAUCUUUGAACGCAUAUUGCGCUCUCUGGUAUUCCGGAGAGCAUGCUUGUUUGAGUAUCAGUAAACACCUCAACUCCCUUUUCUUAUUUGAAAUUGGAGCUGGACUUGAGUGAUCCCAACGCUUUCUUCCAAGAAAGUGGCGGGUUGCUUGAAAUGCAGGUGCAGCUGAACUUUUCUCUGAGCUAUAAGCAUAUCUAUUUAGUCUGCCUAAAAAACAGAUUAUUACCUUUGCUGCAGCUAACAUAAAGGAGACUAGUUCUUCUGCUGACUGAUGCAGGAUUCACAGAGACAGCUUCGGCUGACUUUGUAAACUCGAUCUCAAAUCAAGUAAGACUACCCGCUGAACUUAAGCAUAUCAAUAAGCGGAGGA